GAUGAGCGCUGGCGGUAUGCCUUAAGCAUGCAAGUCGAACGAAGCCUUCGGGCUUAGUGGCGCACGGGUGCGUAACGCGUGGGAAUCUGCCCUUGGGUUCGGAAUAACAGUUAGAAAUGACUGCUAAUACCGGAUGAUGUCUUCGGACCAAAGAUUUAUCGCCCAAGGAUGAGCCCGCGUAGGAUUAGGUAGUUGGUGGGGUAAUGGCCCACCAAGCCGACGAUCCUUAGCUGGUCUGAGAGGAUGAUCAGCCACACUGGGACUGAGACACGGCCCAGACUCCUACGGGAGGCAGCAGUGGGGAAUAUUGGACAAUGGGCGAAAGCCUGAUCCAGCAAUGCCGCGUGAGUGAUGAAGGCCUUAGGGUUGUAAAGCUCUUUUACCAGGGAUGAUAAUGACAGUACCUGGAGAAUAAGCUCCGGCUAACUCCGUGCCAGCCGCCGCGGUAA
rnacentral:rRNA from 1 species